AAGGUUUUUUAACCAAAGUAUCUGUUUGAAGUUCCAAGUAAACCCUUGACAGGGCCCAGCUUGCCAAGAGAUGUGCUUUCUACCAGUAAGCAAGGAAAUCUAUCCAUAAUUUUUUUUUUUCCUUUUUUUAAAGAAAAUAAAACAUUUCCUUUGGAAUUUAUUCUCUCUUUUAACCUUAUGCUCACUGCCCAACACAAACACACACCUUUCCCCAAGGACGGGGAAAAGCUCCAAGCACCCCAGGGGACUCUGGUGGUGGUGAAGCCCCCAGGGCAGGGCAGCCAUUUUGUGCCCCUUCAGGGCACAGCCCCAGGCAAGGGGGCUCAGACAGCCUGGUGUUUGAGGCUCUGGCUGUGCCAUACACACAUGACAUUGCUUCCUGCGUCAUUCACAGGUUGUUUCUCAGCAUUUUUGUGCAGAAGACCCAGCAUUUUUCUUCAGAAAUACCAUCGCCUCCCAUGGUGUGCAGAAUCCUACCCUGUAUGUUAACACACGUGGAUCUAGUAUCAGCUGUGGCCUGGAUGCACCCUCAAAAAUAUCUUCUGGGACAUGACAACUUUACCCAUGUAACUGCUGGGAAAACUGUUGCAAGAACUCAGUAGCACUGAGCAACUGGUGCGGUGAUAUCGUUCCUGAACAAAUGCCAUCUUUGAGAGCCCACCCACUGUGGGACAGUAAGUCUCUUUGGCCUCUUUGCUACCUAAUAGAGUGAAGAUCAGAACCUAUUUAUUGCAGGAAACAGUAGAUCUCUGACAAGUGAAACAUUACUGUUCCAUGGGUGUUAAUUUUGCAUCUUUCAUAUUUUGAUCAUUGAGAUAGUUUCUUAACUACAGGUGUAGAUGGACUGAGAUCCUGGCUACUUCUAUAAUUCUUCAGCUAGUGCCAAGCAAAAUGCCUGCCAAAGCCAACUGUCACAUACCUGUUACCGCCCAGAACUUGCAUCAGAACAGCACAACAUGAAUGACCCAGAUUGAAAGUCUGGCCUUGCUUGAUUUUGCAAUACUGCAACUAGUGAAGAAUAGACAAUCGAGCUGGCCCUCUGCAAGUAUCUGUUACAGUAAGGAAAA